rnacentral:lncRNA from 1 species
AUCUUUCAUGCUUCUGGUUCCGUGGAAGGUGAAAGGGCUAGGGACAGAACUCCGGGCACAUAACUCCUGGGGGAGCACUCUCCAGGGACAUAACAGCAUUCUGUCACCGCGAGCUUAGGGCAUUGGAUUAGGAUUCCCCCACCUCAUAAAACAUCAUUUGAUGCUUCUGACACAUAUGAUAUGAAAGAAGAUGAGUCUUUAUUCGCCUUAUCAGGCAUAGUUUCUUUUCAAGAAAGAGGCAGAGGAUAUGAGCUUGACACCGCAGCUAGGCGUGGUUCCGCAGACUGUAUACGUGGUAGGGCCCGCUUCAGAAAGUAGGUUUCCAAGCCCGCAGAUUCAAGAGUUAAGUUAGAGGCUGACUAGUUAAACAGGAAAUUCAAAUGAAAGAAGGUUCUUUCACCUUAUAUUGAUUCUUUGUUCCUGCUUCAACUCAUAGAUGACUACCCGAGGAUCACUCACUCUACUAUAAGACCACUAAGAGGGAUUAGAUUACCAACCCCUCUUUCUAACUAUAACUUCAGAAUAGCUACGCUUGUCGCCCGCUAAAGUAAAGCAAUUGUCGCAGCUCCAGCUGAAGCAAUUGUCGCAGCUCCAGCUGAAGCAAUUGUAACUGCUCCGGUGGAUCAGAGCUACUCGAAAACCGUGAUAGGUGCUUGAGAUCAGAACUGCUUACAGCAGCCUUGACCUGGUCCAAUGGAAAGGGAAAGCUGAAAGAAAAGAGAGUUUCAAUCCACAAAUGAUCCGAUACAUAUAAAGAUGCUACUUGAACUCGACUCCGUGAAACCUUGUUUGAGCGAGAGGAACGGACAACAGAUAAAGAGUUGUAGCUAGGUCCUAUAGAAAUUGGAAUAAGAGCUUGCCGGUCACGUGGAAGGUCUUCGGGGAGCCAAAAAGCGCUCCAUACGAGGCCGAUCCGAUCUCCAUUGUGUAGCCCUUCAAGUGCUGAUAGACCGCGAGCUCCUGUUGUUUUUUAUUGGCAUGGACUGAACAUGGUCCCUAGCUGUGAACGUAUGUGUUGACUUCGUGAAACCUUAGUAGGAUGGUUCACUGGAGAUGCAGUGUGCUCGGCUUUUCCGUUUUUUCUUUGUCUUUGCCUCCAACAGUUGACUGGGCUAUAGCUAAACCUGCCCUUUGUCUAAAGAUGUGGUGCCACGAGAUAUUCGAUUUGAGAGUACCUUCUCAUUGGGGCAUGCCGGCAACCUUGCGGCUGAGAACUAUCUGGUGCGGGAGUAAUCCAUCGAGCUGAAUGCUUGGUUGAGUAUUCUAUCGCACCUAGUAAAACAGGCAUCCCUAUACCUAUGUGUCUUGUGUGCUUAUUAGUGCCAUUGAGGGGUGGCCGAAGGUUAGGCGUACACAUGGGCUCAUCCCCGCCAUCGAUCUAUAAAUUUCCAUUUUCCGCAAUUUUGGUUGUCAAGUCGAGAUAUGAGUGUAUAGGGGCGCCAGACUCCCUGUGCUGUGAUGGGUUCUGCCAUGUGAAAGCGGUGAACUGCUUGUCAAGGCUAGGCUAAACCAUGAUGCUGUGUUACUAGGCUUCGCCUCUCCCUUCACUAUGAAAGUCUCGCUCCUAUUCUUUAAGAAAAAGAAGAUGGAAACUGAGCUUGAUUAUCUAAUGGAAGGGAAGGAAGAAGUGGAACUUUGCAUAAAGUGAAGAUCACUGGGGGUGAGUAGAAAUGAAUUGUUUUUCAUAAAUAGUAAGAUUCCAUUUUAUUUGUCUGCCCCCCCCCCCCCAAAAAAAAAAAAGAAGAGAGACUUGUUGGAAAUGUGCUUGGUUGUUGACCAAGAAAGAAAGAAAUGGGAGUCUUUGGGCAUUGCUUGGGCUAAGUCAAACUUGGGACGAGUGUUGUAUGGCUACCUAGUGAUUUACAAGUACCCUCACUGCACUGACCAUAGUAAACCCCUUCUCGUUGUACCGAAAUAGAGAUCUGAUUUAAACGACCAGGUACAGCAUAUGAGUUCGAUCCAUUAGGUUCUUUUUUUUUUCAGAAAAGAAACGAGAGACAAGAAAACAUCUUUGAUUACGAUUAAAAGGAACAAUCUCAAAUAGAUCAAGAUCCAAUUUCGGGUCAUUUCUUGGUGAACAUGAUCUGCCAUAAUCUCUUCGAUCCCUUCAUUUAUGUGCCAGAAUAGAGAGAGAUUUGGUAGGAAAGUGGAAGAGACCUUUUUGUAUAUGAUAAUCAAAGGGAGUGGGAAAGCUGCAGUAAUUCUUUGGAAAAGCCCGGUUCUCUUUGUCUUUGAGCUUUCAUUCCUCAAUCCACUGAUUCUUUCCUUCAUAUACCUCCCCACCAAUAGAUAGAGACAAAUAGGAAUAACCGAACCACGUCUACAAAAUGCCAGUACCAUGCAGCUGCUUCAAAGCCAACGUGAUGCUCCUUGGUCAGAUGACCAAGAUAUUGGCGAAUACCACAUAUGAUCGAGAAAAUAGUACCUAUAAUCACAUGAAAACCAUGAAAGCCAGUUGCUAAGAAAAAGGUAGAACCAUAAAUACUAUCCGAAAUAGUGAAGGGUGCUUGAUAAUAUUCCAUUCCUUGAAAGCCUGUGAAUACUAGAGCCAGUGAAACGGUAGCUACUAAAGCGUAAACUGCUCGUUUUUCCUUCCCCGCGAGUAUAGCAUGAUGAGCCCAAGUUACGGCAGCUCCAGAUGAAAGGGGAAUAAGGGUAUUAAGAAAAGGGAUUUCCCAAGGAUCUAAAACCGCAAUCCCUUUUGGGGGCCAAAUACCUCCGAUCUCUACCGUAGGUGCCAAAGAAGAAUGAGAAGAAGCCCGAAAAAGAGCAAAAAAGAACAUAACCUCCGAUACGAUAAACAGAAUAAAACCAUAUCGAGGUCCUAAUUGUACGACUUUGGUAUGAUGUCCUUCGAACGUGGAUUCACGUAGAACAUCGCGCCACCAUACGAACAUGGUAUAUAGGAGAAAUAUGAGGCCCAAACUGAGAAGUGUUGCACCCCCUUGAAAUGAGUGCAUGUACAUCACACCUCCUACGGUUGUUGCCAAAGCUCCGAGUGAACCCGAAAUAGGCCAUGGACUUGGAUCUACCAAAUGAUAAGAAUGUCUCUGAGAUUCAAUCAUAAACCACUUUGCCUCGGUUCUAUGUAAACCCCCCCUUCACCCCCACCCCCUAAAGUAGUAAAGUAAAGAAGGGCUCUUUGGGGUCUAAUUUUCUUUCUAUCUGACAGGACAAACAAAGAAAUAGGAAGGGAUGGUUCUUUCAUUCCAUUGAUAGAAGUCUAACUAGAAAAAGACUCUCUCUAUUACUUUGAGAAGAGAAUCGUUGGUUUGACCGACGAACUACGUGGGAAAAUAGACCUUAUUUCUUUGAAGCAAGAUUUUUGGAAAGUAACAAUUCCAUUCAGUUCGCUUUCGGAAAACUUGCUGGUCGCGGAUUAGUUCGUUCUGCGCCGCCAGCGGCCUCAACUCAAAGGCGCAGGUUGAUCUCUCUGGUUGAGGCUGCAUUCAUUUAUUUAUAUUCAACUUGACACGUGGGAAGGGCUUACUCUACUAGUGGCUCGGCUUGGUUUGGCCCCUUCCCGCACUAUUCCUCCCCACUAAAAAGAGCGAUUGAGAAUCUCGAGAACCUUUCCGAGCGUCUGUCUUCGCGGGGCGAUUGGAAAAGAAAGGAGUAUUUCAUUCUUUUACUGCCUUCCAUUCCACUAUUCUGAUCGAAUUAAUUGCUCUUCCGAACAACCAAGUCAUAAUGAGAUUAAAAACCGAUGCUUCCUUGGCCGUGUGGAACAUGGAUUAGCAUUAUGUCAUUCCUACAAGUGAUGACCCACCCAGGAUUGCUAUGUACAGACUUAGAGAUCAAAUAGAAUAUGUUUCUUUCCAUUCCUCGUGAGCCACUUAUUUCUCCGAAACAAGAGAUUAAAGUCAUCUUCCUCCUUUUUCCCAAGAAGUCGACGGCGUUACACCAUUGGGAUACUUCGAAUAAACUUGAGUACAUAUAGGAUACACCGGUGCUAAAACCUUUUCUCAAGAUAUCUUCCAAACUGUUGGGGUCGUUGCUCCGGAUCUUGUUCUCCCGGUGUGAAACCAGUUGGUUCCGUAGUUUUAGAAUUCUGCUGAUCCCAAGUACUCCAUCUCCAUCAUUGCAUAUAGGAAUAUAGAAAGUAAAGAGGAAAAGGCAUGACCAGAAGAAUUGUGUGAAAUAAGUGAAUUUAUCCAGUUGAGGCAUUCUUGAUUGAUUGAGACAAAAAGAUUCCCUCAAUACAGCUUCACUCCGUCAAGCCUGUACGAGUAGUGAAGAGGUAUAGAUUUAGUUGGUUGUUGACCGACGGAAAGCAUGGGAUCAAAAAAGGUAAUCAAUCAGAAUUGAGAAAAUAAUUCAAAAAAUCUUGGUAAACACUGGAAUCUUUACCCCGUUGAUCCAAAUCCUGUAAAAAAAAAGCGAAGACUCCCCUCAAGAAGAUUUCGCUCAAAAGCAUGGCGUGGAUCGCCAACAGGCUGAAGCUUGUCUUCAAGAAAGUGAUAAGCCUCCUUUCUUAUGUUUGAGUAAGGGGAUUCAUUAAUAUAAUAAUAGAGGAAAGAUUCUCUUCUUCAAGCAUUAAGUUAAGGAGUUUGUCUUGGACAAGGCCCUUUCUCUCUAAUACUUGAAGUUCGAAAUACUCUUGAUCAAAGAAAGAAAAUUUCAAUUCGGCGAUAAAGAUAGAUAAAUGUGGCGCAUUUUCGCGAACAAGGGCAGCAUAGUCUCCCGGAGUGUUCUGAGGCGGUAGAUUAUAGUACGUACCAUUCUCCAAGAGUCUUAUACGCCGAUAUAUUUCCGCCUCAUUCUCCGCGGCAAUAACGUUUCUAAAAGUUUAGAGUGAUUCCGAACUCGAUUCAGAUUCCAGGCGGGGAAGACUUCCUGAUUCUCUAGUCGAAUUAUCACUUUCAUUCGACAAUACAAAUAAGAUAAAGGCUGUGGGGAGUGCUAGAAAAGCCAAAAAAAGUCCAUAAUGAAGAAUCUCAAAAGGCAACUAAAAAGGGAAAGGAGGAAACACAUAAUGUAAAAUAGAAUCAGACUUUUUUUUCUUCUUCUUCUUAUCAAAACUACUGUGAUAAUGAGAAAGAGUAAAGAAAAAACGAAAAUAAGGAUCGGGGUCUUUCGAAUUAUUUUUUUUGCAGUUGAAGCUGCGGUGGAGGCUUCGGCUUGGCUCCCAAACCCAUGCCAUUUUCUUUAUUCUUUUUCAUUUUUUUAGUAACAAAAUAAAAGAAAAGUAGGACCAAACUGAGAGUUAGUAGCAUAAAAAAAGAUGGAUUUGUGAAUGAAAAAUAGAAGUUUCCAAUAGGAAAAUCCAUCAAUGGCACAAUCUCAAAUUGUUCAGGUGGGCCACUUAUUUCUAAUUGUGAAAAUGGGCCACUUAUUUCUAAUUGUUCAGGUGGGCUGGAGACGAGAUCUUUCACUAGAUCCACUUGUUCAGGUGGGCCACUUAGAUCUAAUUGUUCAGUUUGGUCACUUAUUUCUAAUUGUUCAGUUUGGUCGGGGUCGUCUGUACGCGCGUCUUUCUUUGGCUUUUUAAAGAUAUCCUCCGCCCGUCCCCCUAUACUGUAAUAAUAUUUCAAUGCGCGUAGUAUAUAGUCGCUCUCCCUCUCGUAACGGCCUCGUACAGGGAAACCUCUUUUGGCAGUCUCGAUAACAAUAGGCUCUCCUAAUUUCUCCUCUAUCUUCUCGAUAACUGGGCGAGGUUUAAGGACUGGAAAGCCCUUGGUCCCACAACUCUCAAUAAAAGUCGUGUAGUUAAAAGGUUUGGUCGAUUGAAAAGGACUGGCGGCGAAAUCUUCAUAAAUAGUAGACAGUCUUCCUUUAAAAAUAGAAGAGAAGGGUCUUUUACUUUUAUUGGGCAUUCUUGAUUGAUUGAGACAAAAAGAUUCCCUCAAUACAGCUUCACUCCGUCAAACCUGUACGAGUAGUGAAGAGGUAUAGAUUUAGUUGGUUGUUGACCAACGGAAAGCAUGGGAUCAAAAAAGGCAGAAUUUACGCAAUUUCUUUUCUUUAAAAAAUCUCUUUCUUUUUUUUCCCCAACGACAAAGGAACUUACGGGCGGGGCAUUUUCGGGGGCUAGCCCGCUUCCCACCAUUACUCAAUAGGGCAAUUCCUCGCACAUAAUUAAGGGAGCCAUUGAAAGGUGACUAAAACACCAGAAACGGGGACUACCCGAGCUAAUGAUAGAGGCAAGAACACUUUCCGGCCAAGUCCCAUUAAUUGAUCAUAACGAUAUCGUGGAAAUGCUGCACGGACCCAUAUAUAUAGGAACAGAAAAAGAAUCACCUUGAUACUAAACCAGAUCGAGCCCGGGAUCUUCUUGGAAAUGGGAAGAUCUAGGAUAGGCGGCCAACCUCCUGGAGAGAGCGAUGUGCAUAGACCAGGUGAGUAGGGAUGCAGCUCCGUGGACCGCUCGUCGGGCCUGAUAGGUGGUGGUAUCAUACCCUUCUCAAAGGAACCGUACGUGACACUCUCGCGUCAUACGGCUCCGUCCCGGAAGCAGGACCUUCCCUUUCCUUUGACCAACGGGCCCCCAAACCUUUCUUAUUUCGUGCCGAACCGGGUCUCCAUCUUUGAACUUCCCGUUCGAUGAGACCCCACCCCAGGUCUCGCUGUUUCCGUUUUCUAGGUCACGCCUUAACCUCGUUAGAAAGCGGAGUUGGCUAGCUGCCGGCAUAUCUUUUACGUUACCGGCCACAUAGUCUGUAGCGUCUUUCACUGCAUCGCAUUUGCCGGGGUUGAAUCCCCUUUCUUGAGCGAUCGCCUUCGCUCGUUGGCAGAACGCCUUGAUGCGUGCGUCUAGUUUGUUGGGGUGACACUCCGCCUCUUUAUACUCUUAGGAGGCGAGAAACUCCCGUUCCCUUCUCCUUCCUUACUCUUCCGAGGAUGGUUCAGGGGGAGCCGGUUCCGCCUCCGGCUGAGGAGGGAAAUUUCAAUCGAUAGGCGGUAGCUUCGACGAGCUGGGACGUGGAAGUGAAAACCCUAAACUUGAAACCCUACCCUUCUUUGCUACUCACUAUCUAAGUGGCAAAUCCGAAGUCGGUUCUCAAGGCCCGGAAGCUCGGGGAUUGAAUACCCCUAUGUUCCAAGUGACUAGCUUGGCUGGUGAUGCGUUCACCCACUUGCACGCUUCCUUGCAAGCACGAAAUCCUUAGUUCGCCCGCUACCACACGGGCCGGUGUACUCUUAUCGCUAACCCCGAGAGAGGCUAUACUCUAAGAGCCAACCGACUCAUUAUCCCUGGACGCAAGGAUUAAGAAAUAGCGAUGUAUCAGGGGCUGAGCGUACCUUCCGCUCAGGAACAAGAAAUGGAGCUAUUAAGUUAAGGUGCCGCUUUCCUUUUUCUAGCCCUUCUUUGGGUUCCCUAUCGAUGCGUGUAUGCCUUCGUCGAAGAAAGAGGGGAAUCACAAGAAAUUUUCAUACAACUAGGCCUAAUUCCAUCGAUGAAUCAUUCGAGAACGAAUUUUGCGAGACUAAUCUAAUCUUAUUCAACCUUAGAUGGGAAUUAGGGCGAAGCCUGGGGCGGUCUCUGCCUUCUUAACACGCGGCACACCAACUUGAAGUCUGAUUUGAAAAUCUCUCUCUACCUUCACAAAACUUCUCGCGCCCUUCUCGUAGUUUUGACUUGCUCUUAGGUAGGCUACCGUUGACCGGCUUCGCGAGACCAUUUCGGUCUACACACACAUGGGUGGCUAAGCGCUAUUGGGCGGAGCUUUCUCUCAAUCCAAGCUAACUAAUAGAAGAAAAGAGAAGAAAGGAAGAUCUUAUAAGGGACUCACCCCAUCUUUACAUAAGCUAUUUCUUGAACGGAAAAAAUAGAUGCUUUCAUGGACUACUUUGACUUUAGGGAUUUGCUUCAUCAUUAGCUAAAGAAGAGAGACAAGGGGGAAG